GCGAGCUGGCCAGACACUCCGUCUUUCCCACAACAGGUGCAUUCAUCCAUCCGCCGACGGUUGGGGAGGUCUUGCUAGCUGGUGGGCUUGGCUCUUUACCCGUUGUCCCCGAGUAGCCCUCAAGCCUGGAUGUAGGUGAGCGUGAGGAUGCUACUAGUGGGUAGAAGGAUGACAGCAGGGACGGGGACGACCCCCCUCCCAUCACUUCCUAAGGUGAUGCACUUGCUCCUACCCCCCAAGCAGCCUCAGUCCCGGCAGCCCCCUCCCCCCGGCCUGGCCUGCCAGCUCAGGGUGAGCCCGGUCGGAUUGUCACUCGACGCCCACUAGUGGCUGAGGAGGCUCCAGUGCGCAGGCUCCGGGCACCGGAUAAAAGCGGAGCUGGCGAGUCCGGCGCCGUCUCGAUGGAGGAGCGAGAAACGCAAGAGGUCGGGGGGAGAAGCCGCAGAAAAAAUUGCAGCCAUCGUCAGCGCCGCCUCCCUGCCACCGUGUAUGGGGUAAAAGCUGCCGUUGCCGCUGCCGGUGCAGUCGCUGCCGCCGCCUCCUAUACUUCUUAGCACCGGGGAAAGAUUCCCCGCCGCGGGACAGUGUGCUGGGCGGGGAGCGGGAGUUCGUUUGUGUGGCGGUGAUUAAACGAGGGAGGGACAGAGCUGGUUUCUCGAACCGAAAAGGGGAGGCCAAGGAAUAAAACAGGGUUCUCCACUAAAAUCACACAGCGAUUACGGAUCUGGCUUUGGGGGCCUUUCCCCGGAAUGGCGGUUUCCGUCUUCUUGGCCCGCAGCACGACCUUGGGUGCUCCGUAAGAGGAGUGGGGAGAGGCAGAGGCGGUGUCGGCAGCCAAUCGGCGUCUGGUGAUUUCUGUCGGGCGCGUAGGGAUUGGCUGACGAUGACCUCAUGCUGCAGCAGCGGGUGGGGCCAGAGUCGUCGGGGGUGGCUGUUGCAAAGGCAGAGAGUGAGAAGUGAUGACGGUGAUCGUUGUCGCCGCGUCUUCUGUGGAACCCAAGCAGUGCCGAAGGAAGUCGCAAGGCUCUUCCCCGACCUUUUGCUCCUCUCCCUGCGCGAGGUGAGGGCCCUGGCUCGGCCUCUGCGAGACUUUGGGGCGCUGGUGCGGCCGUGGAGGCGCAAUUUCUCCUGUGACUUUUGUAACUGCGUCAGGGCAAGAUGGCGCUGGGUCUCCUUGGGGCGCGGGGGGAGAGGCACGUCCACCGCCGCCGCAGCGCAUGUGACCGGCUGCAUUCCUGUGGGGUUUGGCGGGGACCCAGGCAGGGCGGGGGAGGGGACCGGGUUUGGGCGGAGGAGAUGGUGGUGCGGUCGGCGUUGGCUGCCCGAAGAGGAAGAGAUGACUGUUUGAAAGCUCUUCCCCUCCCCCACUCCCCGCAGCAGAACAGCUGCGGGACGGGGGGGGGGGGGGGGGGGGGGGAGCCCCUGAAAGGACACUCCUUUCGGGGUGUGCCAGCCACUGGUGGAGGAGAAGGUUUGACGCCUUCUUAUCUGCCUUUCUCCUUGCAAAGUAUGCUUACGUAAGGUGGCAGUUCCCUCCUGUAAGCCAACUAGGAGGCCCUGAGUGUCACUGGUAUGGGUAACAAGGACAGGUUAGGCUCUGAAGGCACCACGGGUAGGAGUGUUGAUUAUUUCAGACAAAACAUAAAGUUUGGGGGGUCUGAAUAGAAGACUACAGCAUUCUCAGAGUUUGAAAGCAAGUGAAUAACACCCAGGAACACUUAGGGUUUCUAGGCAGACAGCGAUUAAGGACUGCAUCACAGUCUGAACGGAAGGGCCCUGUCAAACCUUCUCCUUAGAUUCUUUGUGUUCAUUACCCUCCCUGUCUAUACAUCCCAUGAGAGAGUUUAAGUAAUCUUACUGGUGAGGGUUGCCUUUUCAAAUAUAAGUAUUCUUAGUAAUUUUAGUAUUUUGUUCUGUAUGAAACUGAAAGGUCAUUUUCUAUACUUCACGUUGCAUUUUGUCGUCCUUUUAAAAAUAAAAAAUGGAAUUACAAAUGC
ensembl:lincRNA